GCAGUGCUGGCGGAGACUUUCGAUCGCUGGUCCCUCGAAAGGACCAUCCGUCCAUGUCCAAGUCUUGAGUGCUGCCAAG
rnacentral:tRNA from 1 species